UGGUCAGUCUGGAGAGGGGAGGGGUGCAUCACUCUAGGCCAACCAGGGGGGUUGGGAGACUGAUCAGUACCAUAUUAGGAAUUGUUUGAGUGAAGAUUCAAGGGGGAGACACAAGACGGAGCUAAUCUACCCAGAAACGAGAUMUGGACAAAGGAAAGCGCCAAGGGGCUUGGACAAGUCCGGGUGCCCCCAAAGGCGGAGCAAGAGUCUAAACCGUGCUCAGCCUCUACUAUGAUAGGCCAACUGGACGAGUUGGAACCAAAACUGUCAUAGUAUAAGAACUGCUUUUUGAGUACAUUCCACAGUUCCCUGAUCUACCCUGCGCGGAGAUACAGUGAACCCGUAUAUACAAAAAUUGCAUUUYCCCUUCAUUGUUUGCGGUAAUUAAACAUAAUUAAAGAAAGUUAGCAGACCUUGAUUUUUAUUUAUCCUGACACCGGAUGAGUUACACGCAGCGUUCACAAUCGGAGUCCCUUUUUGAUAUGCCGGGGGUAAUUAGGAUCUCUCGAAAGAACUUAAAUUUAUCUAAGAGCCAGAGGAGAAUGCAUCUAUAUACAGUCAAUCUUAGUGAAUAUGUGCGUCAAGGCAUUWUUCCACAGGGACUCAGGUGGCAAAAAGAACCAUCACUGGGACAGCGCACAGAUGAUUUCUGUGAGUGCUGGUGUGCCAUCCUGAACAAAUGCUUGAUUGAUUUAAUGACAUUAUUUGUUGACCAGUUGAAAAAAUAUUUUAUUGAAAUGGACUGGCAUAUUCAAUGAACUUAUAAACUAACCAAGCGCUCCAGGACAAGUUGUCUAAAGAAAUAAAAGGGAACUUAAAAUAAAGAAAUUCAACCAAAACAAAAAAGGCCGAGGACAAAGUCUACUUCUGGAGAAACCCUGACAAAAGAGGUCCUCCUCUCCAUGACAGACGCAGGAGGGAGGCCGCUUACAUUCUAUCCAUCCCCGACUAACCAACUCUCUACAACCAGCGCCUCAUCUGCUUCCAGUGCCAGUUUUUUUAUCCAACGAGAGACUUGACCGACGGAAGCGCAGAGAUGGCCGCGGACAUGCGCACCGACGAGAUGCCGCACCCGACGGGGAUCAUCUGUGGCCACAACCCUUGAAAAGGGCUUUCUGGCUAUCCGUAAAGCAGGACACCUGUGCAUACAAAUCCAGAGCCAAGAGUACAGGGACUACUCAGGCAGAGAGAAGAUGGAGGUUCACCUGUAUGUGUUAAGGCCAUCACACUGACACAAUUGCUUUCCUUGGUGAAUAAGUCACCAGAGUCUAUGGCCAAGGAAGGGACAUCACUCAUCUAAGGUUUCAAGAGUCCUGCCUUGUUUGUAGAAUCCAGAGGUGAAGGAUAAAGAGAGAGACUCAUUAACAUGAAUGUAGCAAGACAACAUACAGUGUGAUAGACAAGCUCAAUGAACCCACAAGCUAAGAGGCAGUAUGGCCUGUUUUGGCUCUGACUGUUUGUAUUUGUUUCAAUGAAUGCAAGCAUGGCCUCAUUUCCUGUGACAAUCUAGUGUUGGUGCAGGAACCAAGGGCCCUAGUCUGUAGCAAAGACUUUGUAUAACCACUGAACACCUUUGUAUUUAAGUAAACAUUUCCCCUUCAAGGAGAUUCUCUGAAUGUGUUUUGUCCUCUAACUCAGUAGGACUGCCGGUGUGCAUACUGUGAGUUAAGAGCUUGAAUAUAAAUACAGUGGACAUCCCAAAUAGCACCCUAUUCCAUUAUUUUGACCAGUGCCCAUAGAGCAAGUAAUGCACUAUGUAGGGAAUAGGGUACCAUUUGGGACACAACCACUAGUUGGUCUCUCUCUGUGCUGCAGGGCUCCAGGUGCUGAUAGUGGACCAGUGGAUAGAGACCGGAGGAACCAUGAAGGCUGCUAUCAAACUGGUGGAGCGGCAGGGAGCUACUGUUGUGUUGCUGCUGUGGCCAUUGAGAACAGCGAGGGAGGGAAGUMGAUCAAGGAGAAAUACAAACAAACACUCUCACUGCAUCCCAGAGGAACUACAGAUUCAAAUUGACAAACAAUAUCUUGACUCCUUCCAAGAGCUUCGCCAGUUAAAUGCUCAAACUCAAUGUCAUGCAGUUCCGAGCAGGGUAGGCAAUCUCUAACUGUGCUGACAAGGAUUCUAUGUUACUCUAGUAUGGUGCUUUGUCCAAGAAGUCACUAAGAUCAUGUAUUGCCUUGGAGUGGUGAAUGCAUUCAAUUAUUUUGGCUUAUAUACAAGCAUAUUGUAUAUAUAGUACCUAGUGAAAGUGUAAACAAAUUCAAUAUAAAAAUGGAUUCGAUUUUUUCCCCAUAGAGAUCCACAUUUUCAAAGUGAAAGAAAUUACAGCUGUGAAUCAUUUUGAAUAAUAUUCUACCAACUUUGUACAACUCUUAGGGCAACAUACACGCCAGUUUAUUAGGUACACCACCCUGUUCACAAAAAUGGUGUGGUUCUACAAAUAGUGAGUCACGUGGCCAUGGCUUGCUAUAUAAAGCAGGCAGACAAGCAUUCAGUUACUGUUAGAUUGAAAGUUAGAAUGGGCACAACGAGUGACCUAAGCGACUGAGCGUAGUAUGAUUGCCAGUGCCAGGCGGGCCGGUUUCAGUAUCUCAGAAACGACCGGCCUCUUGGGCUUUURGUGCACAACAGUGUCUAGACUUUACCGAGAAUGGUACGAAAACAUUUAUUUAAAAAACUCCAGUCAAUAGCGACAGUCCUGUGGGCGAAAARAGCUUGUUGAUGAGAGGUCGAAGAAGAAACUACAGGUUUGUGGUGGCAGCAUCAUAUUAUGGGUAUGCUUGUCACCAGCAGGGACUGGGGACAGGAUGAAAAUAAAAAGUUAUGGAUCAUAGUCCAAGUAAAAAGUUAUAGGAAAUCCCACCUCAGUCUUCUGAAAACAUAACCCUGGGAUAUAUAUWUUUUUUAAUUCAACAACAUUACCCAAAUUGUAAUGCCAAAGAUGCACCAGAAUGGCUUUCCAGGAGGUGUUGAGUGUUCCUAAAUAGUCCAGUCUCCAUCCUGACUUAAAUCUGCUU